rnacentral:misc_RNA from 1 species
UGGGCCAUUUCUCCAGCCAUGCC